UAAUAGUUUUCAUGGAGCAGUAAAUAUUGUUGGAAUCAUGUGUAUUAUGUGUUCUUAGAGAUGGUUUAAGUGAGCUUUCUUCAGUCCACUCACGGAAGGGCAAAGGGUUUGAAUUAGCUGCCGACUCAUUCAUUCAAACUCAGUAGAAAAGGAGUGGAUAUUUCUACUGCGAAUGUGUGAAUGAUGCGGGAGAUAAAUUUCAUUCUUUUCUUCUCUGUGCUUGGACUGAAGGGAGCUCCCUUUUACUAUCUUCUUUGUUGUAUACAUUGUUUACCUAACCAUUUCUUUUCAUGAUGUAUUUAGUGAUC